ncrna:Clostridium perfringens D str. JGS1721 pemK RNA
ACAAUGAUACUCCCGUUUAAAAUAACGGUAUACCCAUAAGAAUGGGAUAAGGUGAAAUUCCUGUGG